GGGGAUGUAGCUCAGUGGUAGAGCGCGUGCUUUGCAUGUACGAGGCCCCGGGUUCAAUCCCCGGCGUCUCCA
rnacentral:tRNA from 1 species